rnacentral:misc_RNA from 1 species
GUCCACGUGUAGACAAGUCGCUACCUGCCGUUGGUGUUGUCUUUUUUCUUUUUUAAUUUAUUUUUGUUUUAUAUUUUAAAUCAUAGUAUAAUGGACAUAAAUUCAUAUGUGGGAACCCACUUUUAGAUAGAAAAAUGUGGAGCAAUAACUUUCUAUCCUUACCUUGAUUAGGAGUGUAAAUGAGUCAAAUACUUAUGAGCUACUUGGAUUUGUCUUGGAAAAUGCUCAAAAUCAAUUUGAUUAAGAGCUCAAGAAGCUUGGCGAGUCAAGUUCAAGUGCCAUAGUGCUCAACUCAAAUGGCUUGCAAGGCUAAUCGAGCUUGUAUAAAAUUACAAUUUUACUCCUAUAUAUUGAUGUAUAAUUGAAAGAAAUGUUAAUCAUCUCUAACUUGAGCUCAAUUGAGCUUAUUUGAGUUUGUCUUUUGGGAUUCUAGACUUCUAGUUAUAUAGAUUGAGUUGAGCUGAGUUGAUCUCGAGUAUUGUAAGGAUCCUAUUGUGUCAAGUUCGAGCUCCAAAAAAUAAAGCUCGACUGAGUCAAGUUUCAAGCUUCAAGUUUUAGAACUGAGUCGAGUUUGAGUUUGGCACUGUAUUGACUCAACUCGGCUUAAUUACACCCCUAGUCUUGAUGGU